rnacentral:rRNA from 1 species
UACGUAGGGUCCGAGCGUUGUCCGGAAUUAUUAGGCGUAAAGGGCUCGUAGGCGGUUUGUUGCGUCGGGCGUGAAAUCCUCCAGCUUAACUGGAGGCUUGCUUUCGAUACGGGCAGACUUGAGGUAUUCAGGGGAGAAUGGAAUUCCUGGUGUAGCGGUGAAAUGCGCAGAUAUCAGGAGGAACACCGGUGGCGAAGGCGGUUCUCUGGGAAUUACCUGACGCUGAGGAGCGAAAGUGUGGGGAGCGAACAGG